CCCCCAGUGAGAGUCGGCGCCACCAUGGAGGAGUACCACCGCCACUGCGACGAGGUUGGCUUCAGUGCUGAUGAAGCCCAUAAUAUCAUCAAAGAGUGUGUGGGUGGGGUAUUAGGUGGUGAGGGUUACAAUCAGAACAAUAUCAACCAGUGGACUGCAAGCAUAGUGGAGCAAUCACUCACACAUUUGGUUAAGCUGAGGAAAGCAUACAAAUACAUUGUGACUUGUGCAGUGGUCCAGCAGAGUGCAUAUGGCUUUCACACAGCCAGCUCAUGUUUUUGGGACACCACAUCUGCUGGAACCUGUACUGUAAGAUGGGAGAACCGAACCAUGAACUGCAUUGUCAAUGUUUUUGCCAUUGCAAUUGUCCUGUGACCAUCUAAAAA